AUACGUAGGGGGCGAGCGUUGUCCGGAAUGAUUGGGCGUAAAGGGCGCGUAGGCGGCCCGGUAAGUCUGGAGUGAAAGUCCUGUUUUUAAGAUGGGAAUUGCUUUGGAUACUGUCGGGCUUGAGUGCAGGAGAGGUAAGUGGAAUUCCCAGUGUAGCGGUGAAAUGCGUAGAGAUUGGGAGGAACACCAGUGGCGAAGGCGACUUACUGGACUGUAACUGACGCUGAGGCGCGAAAGUGUGGGGAGCAAACAGGAUUAGAUACCCUGGUAGUCCACACUGCAGACGAUGAAUGCUAGGUGUAGGGGGUAUCGACCCCUUCUGUGCCGCAGUCAACACAAUAAGCAUUCCGCCUGGGGAGUACGGCCGCAAGGUUGAAACUCAAAUGAAUUGACGGGG
rnacentral:rRNA from 1 species